AGCAUUAUACCGCGAAACUGCGAAUGGCUCAUUAAAUCAGUUAUCGUUUAUUUGAUAGUACCUUACUACUUGGAUAACCGUGGUAAUUCUAGAGCUAAUACAUGCUGAAAAUCCCGACUUCGGAAGGGAUGUAUUUAUUAGAUUAAAAACCAAUGCCCUUCGGGGCUCUCUGGUGAUUCAUGAUAACUUCUCGAAUCGCAUGGCCUUGCGCCGGCGAUGGUUCAUUCAAAUUUCUGCCCUAUCAACUUUCGACUGCUGGGUCUUGGCCAGCAAUGGUGACAACGGGUAACGGAGGGUUAGGGCUCGACCCCGGAGAAGGAGCCUGAGAGACGGCUACUACAUCCAAGGAAGGCAGCAGGCGCGCAAAUUACCCAAUCCCGACACGGGGAGGUAGUGACAAUAAAUACUGAUACAGGGCUCUUUUGGGUCUUGUAAUUGGAAUGAGUACAAUUUAAAUCCCUUAACGAGGAACAAUUGGAGGGCAAGUCUGGUGCCAGCAGCCGCGGUAAUUCCAGCUCCAAUAGCGUAUAUUAAAGUUGUUGCAGUUAAAAAGCUCGUAGUUGAACCUUGGGCCUGGCCGGCCGGUCCGCCUCACCGCGUGCACUGGUACGGUCGGGCCUUUCCCUCUGGGGAACCCCAUGCCCUUCACUGGGCGUGCGGGGAAACCAGGACUUUUACUUUGAAAAAAUUAGAGUGUUCAAAGCAGGCCUAUGCUCGAAUACAUUAGCAUGGAAUAAUAGAAUAGGACGUGCGGUUCUAUUUUGUUGGUUUCUAGGACCGCCGUAAUGAUUAAUAGGGACAGUCGGGGGCAUCAGUAUUCAAUUGUCAGAGGUGAAAUUCUUGGAUUUAUUGAAGACUAACUACUGCGAAAGCAUUUGCCAAGGAUGUUUUCAUUAAUCAGGAACGAAAGUUAGGGGAUCGAAGACGAUCAGAUACCGUCGUAGUCUUAACCAUAAACUAUGCCGACUAGGGAUCGGACGAUGUUACUUUUUGACUCGUUCGGCACCUUACACGAAAGUACAAGUUUCUGGGU
rnacentral:rRNA from 1 species